AACGAGCGCUGGCGGCAUGCCUAACACAUGCAAGUCGAACGAGACCUUCGGGUCUAGUGGCGCACGGGUGCGUAACGCGUGGGAACCUGCCCUUAGGUUCGGAAUAACUCCCCGAAAGGGGUGCUAAUACAGGAUAAUGUCUUCGGACCAAAGAUUUAUCGCCUUUGGAUGGGCCCGCGUUGGUUUAGCUAGUUGGUAGGGUAAUAGCCUAUCAACGCGACGAUGCAUAGCUGGUCUGAGAGGAUGAUCAGCCACACUGGGACUGAGACACGGCCCAGACUCCUACGGGAGGGAGCAGUGGGGAAUAUUAGACGAGGGGCGAAAGCCUGAUCCAGCAAUGCCGGGGAAGUGAUGAAGGCCGUAGUGUUGUAAAGCUCUUUUACCCGGGAUGAUAAUGACAGUACCGGGAGAAUAAGCACCGGCUAACUCCGUG
rnacentral:rRNA from 1 species